rnacentral:lncRNA from 1 species
GCGGUGGCAGCGGCAGGCUGGGAAACUUUGCCCCUUUGUGCGCUCCGCCCCGGAGGCGGCGGGCAGGCAGCGUAGCCUUCUCCAUCAUCCUGACCCAGGGAGGGAGAAGUGUCAGGAGGAAACUCCUCACCCCAAUCUGCCCCACCACACACCCAUUGGCUCACCUCAUGCCUGAGCCCCGGGUGGGUGAGGGUGAAGAACCCACCCAGCCAAGAUGAAAUCUUCCUUGGGGGCUGCCGCCGCC